AUGUAACUUCCUUUACUGGUUUGCUGCAGGCAAUUUCACUGCAAGUAAUUACUGCAGCUCCCAGCAUGUAGUUUUCCAUUUUGCUUUUGCCGAUCAAGAUUUUCAAAUUGUAGAUGAGUAUUUGUUAAUGAGUUACAAACACUUAUAACCACUAAAUAGGAGCCUUAUUGUAAAGUGUAAAACACUUCACUAUUUAUUAAUGAGUUACAAACACUUAUAACCACUAAACAGGAGCCUUAUUGUAAAGUGUAAAACACUUCACUAUUUAUUAAUGAGUUACAAACACUUAUAACCACUAAAUAGGAGCCUUAUUGUAAAGUGUAAAACACUUCACUAUUUAUUAAUGAGUUACAAACACUUAUAACCACUAAACAGGAGCCUUAUUUUAAAGUGUAAAACACUUCACUAUUUAUUAAUGAGUUACAAACACUUAUAACCACUAAAUAGGAGCCUUAUUGUAAAGUGUAAAACACUUCACUAUUUAUUAAUGAGUUACAAACACUUAUAACCACUAAAUAGGAGCCUUAUUGUAAAGUGUAAAACACUUCACUAUUUAUUAAUGAGUUACAAAUGUAAGUGAUAUUUAAGACUACUUUUCUACGUAAUAUAUGAAAUAUGUAGUAUAUACAUUCAUCUUUUAUUUUAUUUUAGGAUCAGAAUGUUUCAUUGUUGAAACUGUGACAGACUGUGAUGCUGUGACAGACGAAAGUGUGCUAUAUCAUCCAUUUCAAACCUCGUCUCUCUCCUUCCCUUUCUGACCUGGACCUGGAUGCUUCAGUGCCCUGACUACAGCUAAACAGCAGAAUAGUUUAAUAAUGAGGAAAACUGACCAAAGUGGCAGGACAGUAUAAAUAAAGAUGUUAUUGACAUUU